rnacentral:rRNA from 1 species
GGCGAACGCUGGCGGCAGGCCUAACACAUGCAAGUCGAACGGAUCCUUCGGGAUUAGUGGCGGACGGGUGAGUAACACGUGGGAACGUGCCCUUUGGUUCGGAACAACUCAGGGAAACUUGAGCUAAUACCGGAUGUGCCCUUCGGGGGAAAGAUUUAUCGCCAUUGGAGCGGCCCGCGUCGGAUUAGCUAGUUGGGGAGGUAAAGGCUCACCAAGGCGACGAUCAGUAGCUGGUCUGGGAGGAUGAUCAGCCACAUUGGGACUGAGACACGGCCCAAACUCCUACGGGAGGCAGCAGGGGGGAAUCUUGCGCAAUGGGCGAAAGCCUGACGCAGCCAUGCCGCGUGAAUGAUGAAGGUCUUAGGAUUGUAAAAUUCUUUCACCGGGGACGAUAAUGACGGUACCCGGAGAAGAAGCCCCGGCUAACUUCGUGCCAGCCGCCGCAGUAAAAC